AUCCAGCUGACGAGCCUGAAAUGGGACGAAACGUGCGUCCUGGAU
rnacentral:hammerhead_ribozyme from 1 species